GGCCUAACACAUGCAAGUCGAACGGUAGCACAGAGAGCUUGCUCUCUGGUGACGAGUGGCGGACGGGUGAGUAAUGUCUGGGAAACUGCCCGAUGGAGGGGGAUAACUACUGGAAACGGUAGCUAAUACCGCAUAACGUCUUCGGACCAAAGUGGGGGACCUUCGGGCCUCACACCAUCGGAUGUGCCCAGAUGGGAUUAGCUAGUAGGUGGGGUAAUGGCUCACCUAGGCGACGAUCCCUAGCUGGUCUGAGAGGAUGACCAGCCACACUGGAACUGAGACACGGUCCAGACUCCUACGGGAGGCAGCAGUGGGGAAUAUUGCACAAUGGGCGCAAGCCUGAUGCAGCCAUGCCGCGUGUAUGAAGAAGGCCUUCGGGUUGUAAAGUACUUUCAGCGGGGAGGAAGGCGAUGUGGUUAAUAACCGCAUCGAUUGACGUUACCCGCAGAAGAAGCACCGGCUAACUCCGUGCCAGCAGCCGCGGUAAUACGGAGGGUGCAAGCGUUAAUCGGAAUUACUGGGCGUAAAAGCGCACGCAGGCGGUCUGUCAAGUCGGAUGUGAAAUCCCCGGGUNUUAACCUGGG
rnacentral:rRNA from 1 species